CCUCGGGAGGCAGCAGUGGGGAGUCUUGCACAAUGGAGGAAACUCUGAUGCAGCGAUGCCGCGUGAGUGAAGAAGGCCUUUGGGUUGUAAAGCUCUUUCGUCGGGGAAGAAAAUGACUGUACCCGAAUAAGAAGGUCCGGCUAACUUCGUGCCAGCAGCCGCGGUAAUACGAAGGGACCUAGCGUAGUUCGGAAUUACUGGGCUUAAAGAGUUCGUAGGUGGUUGAAAAAGUUAGUGGUGAAAUCCCAGAGCUUAACUCUGGAACUGCCAUUAAAACUUUUCAGCUAGAGUAUAAUAGAGGAAAGCAGAAUUUCUAGUGUAGAGGUGAAAUUCGUAGAUAUUAGAAAGAAUACCAAUUGCGAAGGCAGCUUUCUGGAUCAUUACUGACACUGAGGAACGAAAGCAUGGGUAGCGAAGAGGAUUAGAUACCCUCGUAGUCCAUGCCGUAAACGAUGUGUGUUAGACGUUGGAAAUUUAUUUUCAGUGUCGCAGCGAAAGCGAUAAACACACCGCCUGGGGAGUACGACCGCAAGGUUAAAACUCAAAUGAAUUGACGG
rnacentral:rRNA from 1 species